rnacentral:rRNA from 1 species
CAGUAGCCGCGGUAAAACGAAGGGGGCUAGCGUUGUUCGGAAUUACUGGGCGUAAAGGGCGCGUAGGCGGCCAUUCAAGUUAGAUGUGAAAGCCCUGGGCUCAACCUAGGAAUUGCAUUUGAUACUGUUUGGCUUGAGUUCGGGAGAGGUGAGUGGAAUUCCCAGUGUAGAGGUGAAAUUCGUAGAUAUUGGGAAGAACACCAGUGGCGAAGGCGGCUCACUGGACCGACACUGACGCUGAGGCGCGAAAGCGUGGGGAGCAAACAGGAUUAGAUACCCCCGUAGUCCCUGUCUCUUAUAC